rnacentral:rRNA from 1 species
CUUCGGUGUCCGAGUUGUAAUCUCUAGAAAUGUUUUCCGCGUUGGACCGCACACAAGUCUGUUGGAAUACAGCGGCAUAGUGGUGAGACCCCCGUAUAUGGUGCGGACGCCCAGCGCUUUGUGAUACAUUUUCGAAGAGUCGAGUUGUUUGGGAAUGCAGCUCAAAUUGGGUGGUAAAUUCCAUCUAAAGCUAAAUAUUGGCGAGAGACCGAUAGCGAACAAGUACCGUGAGGGAAAGAUGAAAAGCACUUUGGAAAGAGAGUUAACAGUACGUGAAAUUGUUGGAAGGGAAACGCUUGAAGUCAGACUUGCUUGCCGAGCAAUCGGUUUGCAGGCCAGCAUCAGUUUUCCGGGAUGGAUAAUGGUAGAGAGAAGGUAGCAGUUUCGGCUGUGUUAUAGCUCUCUGCUGGAUACAUCUUGGGGGACUGAGGAACGCAGUGUGCCUUUUGGCGGGGGUUUCGACCUCUUCACACUUAGGAUGCUGGUGGAAUGGCUUUAAACGACCCGUCUUGAAACACGGAC